rnacentral:sRNA from 2 species
CCGCAAACCACCUUUUAGAGGUUCUUCAUCUGUCGCGUGGGGGAGUCGAGAAAGACCAUCACGCGUGCGACCCAAGACGUCGUGGACGGUAGCGAUAAGGCGCUGAGCAAAGAUCAAGUAAUUGCCAGCGGUAGCCUUGCUAUCUCCCUCCAGUGACAGCUCUUUAUAAAGGGUAAGAAAAUUUAAAACACCAAAGGCGUCUGUCCAGAGAUAUCGGCCUCUAUGACCUCCUGAUUUCGGCGGCGGUCUCCACUUUGUCGCGUCAGGAACGGUGGAGAAGUUUCCGUACACGCUUUCCAUCGAAGCUAGGAACGUUUGGAGGAGCGACAUCGUCAAUGAAGAAACAAGAGCUUCUGUGUUUCUUCUGAUAGACCCUGUUUAUAAUGCCCACGUUUAAGGUUGUAAUUACCGUCCGUAUAGAAAGUUGUGGUUGCGGAAGCUUCCAUCUCUGGAAUUUACAGGUGGUUUCGUUGAUGAGGUCAUGAUUGCCUCAUAACCUGUUCGACGCAGGGAUGAUAUAGUCAUCGUUUGAGGAGGAAA